AAGCGAUGGGGUGACGCAGGAAGGUAGCUGGGCCAGUCAGUGGUUGUACUGGUGUAAGAGUGUAGGCCGUGACAUAGGCAAAUCCGUGUCACAUUAAGGCUGAGACUUGAUGCAUACCCGUUGUGGGGAAUUCAGUGAUCCUAUGCUGCCGAGAAAAGCCUCUAGUGAGUUCAUACACGGCCCGUACCCCAAACCGACACAGGUGAUCAGGUAGAGAAUACCAAGGCGAUCGAGAGAACUGUGGUUAAGGAACUCGGCAAAAUGCCCCCGUAACUUCGGGAGAAGGGGGACCAUGCCCGGUGAACAUCUUCACGGUGGGAGCUGGGUGUGGUCGCAGAGACCAGAGAGAAGCGACUGUUUACUAAAAACACAGGUCCGUGCGAAGACGUAAGUCGAUGUAUACGGACUGACGCCUGCCCGGUGCUGGAAGGUUAAGAGGACCGGUUAGCCGUAAGGCGAAGCUGAGAAUUUAAGCCCCAGUAAACGGCGGUGGUAACUAUAACCAUCCUAAGGUAGCGAAAUUCCUUGUCGGGUAAGUUCCGACCUGCACGAAUGGCGUAACGACUUCUCUGCUGUCUCGACCACAGACUCGGCGAAAUUGCACUACGAGUAAAGAUGCUCGUUACGCGCGGCAGGACGAAAAGACCCCGGGACCUUUACUAUAGCUUGGUAUUGGCGUUCGAUUCGGUUUGUGUAGGAUAGGUGGGAGACUGUGAAGCAUGCACGCCAGUGUGUGUGGAGUCGUUGUUGAAAUACCACUCUGAUCGUAUUGGACGUCUAACCUCGGCCCAUGAUCUGGGUUAGGGACAGUGCCUGGUGGGUAGUUUAACUGGGGCGGUUGCCUCCUAAAGAGUAACGGAGGCGCCCAAAGGUUCCCUCAGCCUGGAUGGCAAUCAGGUGUUGAGUGCAAGUGCACAAGGGAGCUUGACUGUGAGACUGACACGUCGAGCAGGGACGAAAGUCGGGACUAGUGAUCCGGCACCGGCAAGUGGAAGCGGUGUCGCUCAACGGAUAAAAGGUACCCCGGGGAUAACAGGCUGAUCUUCCCCAAGAGUCCAUAUCGACGGGAUGGUUUGGCACCUCGAUGUCGGCUCGUCGCAUCCUGGGGCUGGAGUAGGUCCCAAGGGUUGGGCUGUUCGCCCAUUAAAGCGGCACGCGAGCUGGGUUUAGAACGUCGUGAGACAGUUCGGUCUCUAUCCGCCGCGCGCGUAAGAAACUUGAGGAAGGCUGUCCCUAGUACGAGAGGACCGGGACGGACGAACCUCUGGUGUGCCAGUUGUUCCACCAGGAGCAUGGCUGGUUAGCUACGUUCGGAAGGGAUAACCGCUGAAAGCAUCUAAGCGGGAAGCCUGUUCCAAGAUGAGGUUUCUCACCACCUUGCGUGGUUAAGGCCCCCUACAGACCAUGGGGUUGAUAGGCCGGAACUGGAAGCGCAGCAAUGCGUGGAGGUGACCGGUACUAAUAGGCCGAGGGC
rnacentral:rRNA from 1 species